rnacentral:rRNA from 1 species
GACGACCGCUGGCGGCGUGCCUAAUACAUGCAAGUAGAACGCUGAAGGAGGAGCUUGCUUCUCUGGAUGAGUUGCGAACGGGUGAGUAACGCGUAGGUAACCUGCCUGGUAGCGGGGGAUAACUAUUGGAAACGAUAGCUAAUACCGCAUAAUAGUAGAUGUUGCAUGACAUUUGCCUAAAAGGUGCAAUUGCAUCACUACCAGAUGGACCUGCGUUGUAUUAGCUAGUUGGUGGGGUAACGGCUCACCAAGGCGACGAUACAUGGCCGACCUGAGAGGGUGAUCGGCCACACUGGGACUGAGACACGGCCCAGACUCCUACGGGAGGCAGCAGUAGGGAAUCUUCGGCAAUGGACGGAAGUCUGACCGAGCAACGCCGCGUGAGUGAAGAAGGUUUUCGGAUCGUAAAGCUCUGUUGUAAGAGAAGAACGAGUGUGAGAGUGGAAAGUUCACACUGUGACGGUAUCUUACCAGAAAGGGACGGCUAACUACGUG